AUUGAACGCUGGCGGCAGGUCUAACACAUGCAAGUCGAGCGGAUGAAGGGAGCUUGCUCCUGGAUUCAGCGGCGGACGGGUGAGUAAUGCCUAGGAAUCUGCCUGGUAGUGGGGGAUAACGUCCGGAAACGGGCGCUAAUACCGCAUACGUCCUGAGGGAGAAAGUGGGGGAUCUUCGGACCUCACGCUAUCAGAUGAGCCUAGGUCGGAUUAGCUAGUUGGUGGGGUAAAGGCCUACCAAGGCGACGAUCCGUAACUGGUCUGAGUGGAUGAUCAGUCACACUGGAACUGAGACACGGUCCAGACUCCUACGGGAGGCAGCAGUGGGGAAUAUUGGACAAUGGGCGAAAGCCUGAUCCAGCCAUGCCGCGUGUGUGAAGAAGGUCUUCGGAUUGUAAAGCACUUUAAGUUGGGAGGAAGGGCAGUAAGUUAAUACCUUGCUGUUUUGACGUUACCAACAGAAUAAGCACCGGCUAACUUCGUG
rnacentral:rRNA from 1 species